rnacentral:misc_RNA from 1 species
CAAGGUUUCCGUAGGUGAACCUGCGGAAGGAUCAUUACCACACCUAAAAACUUUCCACGUGAACCGUUAUAACUAUGUUCUGUGCUUCGUCGCAAGACUUGAGGCUGAACGAAGGUGAGUCUGCGUCUAUUUUGGAUGCGGAUUUGCUGAUGUUAUUUUAAACACCUAUUACUUAAUACUGAACUAUACUCCGAAUACGAAAGUUUUUGGUUUUAACAAUUAACAACUUUCAGCAGUGGAUGUCUAGGCUCGCACAUCGAUGAAGAACGCUGCGAACUGCGAUACGUAAUGCGAAUUGCAGAAUUCAGUGAGUCAUCGAAAUUUUGAACGCAUAUUGCACUUUCGGGUUAUGCCUGGAAGUAUGCCUGUAUCAGUGUCCGUACAUCAAACUUGCCUUUCUUUUUUUGUGUAGUCAAAAUUAGAGAUGGCAGAAUGUGAGGUGUCUCGCGCUGUCUUUUUAAAGAUGGUUCGAGUCCCUUUAAAUGUACGUUGAUUCUUUCUUGUGUCUGCGAAUUGCGAUGCUAUGCUCUUUGUGAUCGGUUUAGAUUGCUUUGCGCUGGUGGGCGACUUCGGUUAGGACAUAUGGAAGCAACCUCAAUUGGCGGUAUGUUCGGCUUUGCCUGACGUUAAGCUAAGCGAGUGUGGUUUUCUGUCUUUUCCUUGAGGUGUACCUGUCGUGUGUGAGGUUGAUUUAGGCUAUAUGGUUGCUUGGUUGUGUGGUUUAGCGUUUUCAGACGCCUGCUUCGGUAGGUAAAGGAGACAACACCAAUUUGGGACUGAGAGUUUACUCUCUUUUUCACUUUGGACCUGAUAUCAGGUAAGACUACCCGCUGAACUU